UCACUAUCAUACUAAGAGAAGUACCGAUUGAUUUCUUUGUUACAGAAAGCCAGUAUUGAUGAGAGUCUGGCACAAAGAAGAUUGGGAAAUGGCCUUAGCAGAUCAUGUCUUGAAAUGAAAGUAGGGACAUGCGGGAAUGCCCGUUAACGCAGAAGGUCGUUGUUUGACGACUGAGAAAGAUGAAACGAAGACUGAUUUUUUUAGCGAUCGUUUCCAAUUGAGGUGGUACCGCGAUGACUCGCCCUCAAG
rnacentral:ncRNA from 1 species